rnacentral:piRNA from 1 species
UCAUAGAACUCGCUGGAAGUGAUUUC